CCUCCGAAGUUUCCCUCAGGAUAACUGGCGCUCUCGCAGGACCACCCAGGCAGUUUUAUCUGGUAAAGCAAAUGAUUAGAGGUCUUGGGGCCGAAACAAUCUCAAC
rnacentral:miRNA from 1 species